CUGGAUGGAGUCUAUUUGGUC
rnacentral:piRNA from 1 species